UACGUAGGGGGCAAGCGUUGUCCGGAAUCAUUGGGCGUAAAGAGCGUGUAGGCGGCCAGAUAAGUCCGCUGUGAAAUCUCGAGGCUCAACUUCGAGCUGUCGGUGGAAACUGUCUGGCUAGAGUCCGGAAGAGGAGAAUGGAAUUCCUGGUGUAGCGGUGAAAUACGCAGAUAUCAGGAAGAACACCCGUGGCGAAGGCGGUUCUCUGGGACGGUACUGGCGCUGAGACGCGAAAGCGUGGGGAGCGAACAGG
rnacentral:rRNA from 1 species